rnacentral:RNase_P_RNA from 1 species
AAGGUGGGGCGAUCUGCCGCUCGAAAGAGAGGAAAGUCCGGACAGGACAGGGCAUCCCGCUGCGGAAAGCGCAGGUGGAGGUAACUUCAGGCCAUCCGUAACAGAAAAAAACAGCCCUCCCCUCGGGGAAGGCAAUGAUGAAAACGCGAGGCAAGAGCUCACGACGCCGGGCAGCGAUGUCAGGCGGGUACGGAACCGGGACCUGCAAAACCAAAUAUACUGGCAGAUGAGGGCGGCCCGCCCGAUGCCAGGGGGUAGGUUGCGAAGAUAAAUGGCAGAAAACAAGUGAACAGAAACCGGCUUACGGCUCCACCUUUUUA